rnacentral:rRNA from 1 species
AACGAACGCUGGCGGCGUGCCUUACACAUGCAAGUCGAACGAAAAGUUCGGGUCUAGGGGCGGACGGGGGGGUGACAAGGGGGAACUUACACUUAAGUUAGGUAUAACUCACCGAAGGGUAACCUAAUACAGGUUGGGGUAAUAGCGGAAAAGAUUUAUUGCCUUGGGAUGGGGCCGGGUUGGAUUAGGUAGUUGGUAGGGUAAUAGCCGACCAAGGCGACGUUCCAUGGCUGGUCGGAGAGGAUGACCAGCCACAAUGGAACUGAGACACGGCCCAGUAUCCUACGGGAGGCAGCAGUGGGUAACAUUGGACAAUGGGCGAAAGUGUGAUCCAGCAAUGCCGCGUGUGUGAUGAAGGCCUUAGGGUUGUAAUGCUCUUUUACCCGGGAUGAUAAUGACAGUAACGGGAGAAUAAGCUCCGGCUAACUCCGUG